rnacentral:rRNA from 1 species
UACGUAGGGACCAAGCGUUGUUCGGAUUUACUGGGCGUAAAGCGCACGUAGGCGGAUUGCUAAGUCAGGGGUGAAAUCCUGGAGCUCAACUCCAGAACUGCCUUUGAUACUGGCGACCUUGAGUCCGGGAGAGGUGAGUGGAACUGCGAGUGUAGAGGUGAAAUUCGUAGAUAUUCGCAAGAACACCAGGGGCGAAGGCGGCUCACUGGCCCGGUACUGACGCUGAGGUGCGAAAGCGUGGGGAGCAAACAGG